rnacentral:rRNA from 1 species
AUACGAGGGGUGCAAGCGUUAAUCGGAAUUACUGGGCGUCAAGCGUUCGUAGGCGGUUAUUUAAGCAAGAUGUGAAAGCCCAGGGCUCAACCUUGGAACUGCAUUUUGAACUGGGUAACUAGAGUACUGUAGAGGGUGGUGGAAUUUCCAGUGUAGCGGUGAAAUGCGUAGAGAUUGGAAGGAACAUCAGUGGCGAAGGCGGCCACCUGGACAGAUACUGACGCUGAGGAACGAAAGCGUGGGGAGCGAACAGGAGUAGAAACCCUAGUAGUCC